UACAGAGGUCUCAAGCGUUGUUCGGAUUCAUUGGGCGUAAAGGGUGCGUAGGCGGCGCGGUAAGUCGGGUGUGAAAUUUCGAGGCUUAACUUCGAAACUGCAUUCGAUACUGCCGUGCUAGAGGACUGGAGAGGAGACUGGAAUUUACGGUGUAGCGGUGAAAUGCGUAGAUAUCGUGAGGAAGACCAGUGGCGAAGGCGGGUCUCUGGACAGUUCCUGACACUGAGGCACGAAGGCCAGGGGAGCAAACGGG
rnacentral:rRNA from 1 species